rnacentral:rRNA from 1 species
GACGAGGGGUCCUAGCGUUGUUCGGAAUCACUGGGCGUAAAGAGUUCGUAGGCGGCUCCGUAAGUCGGGUGUGAAAUCCCAUGGCUCAACCAUGGAAGUGCAUUCGAAACUGCGGAGCUUGAAUAUGGAAGAGGGUAGUAGAAUUCCUGGUGUAGUGGUGAAAUACGUAGAUAUCAGGAGGAAUACCGGUGGCGAAGGCGGCUACCUGGUCCAAUAUUGACGCUGAGGAACGAAAGUGCGGGGAUCAAACAGG